AUCCAUCUGACGAGUCCCAAACAGGACGAAACAUGCGUCCUGGAU
rnacentral:hammerhead_ribozyme from 1 species